rnacentral:rRNA from 1 species
GAAGAUUCAUCGUCAAAAUGUUUGGCAUUAGCGCAUGUUAUGAUAUGGUAAAUAAUCCUUGUGGUUAGUAUAUUGUACAUUCUUGUGCUAUUCUGCUUGAUAUGUCGGCGUGCACUUCUCCUCUAGUAGAACGUCGCAACCCGUUGGAUGUUGAUUUAUGGCCUGAAUGGUUGACUUUGACAUUGCUUGCAUUGUCGGAGACCUUUGGUGUUCUAAUCAUCUGUUCGACGGUACUCAUAUGGUGUACAGUCGCUCAAUUGCGUUAAAUCCGUUGCAAGUGUGGUUGAUAAUCGGCAGUACGGAUCUGAUGCCGUCGCUGAUUUUAACUCGCUGUUAGCAAAUGGUGUUCUUUAACUGACUUAUACCGGUUAGCGAUGCUACUGCUUUGGGUACUUUCAGGACCCGUCUUGAAACACGGACCAAGGAGUCUAACAUGUGCGCGAGUCAUUGGGAUUUUUUAAAACAAACCUAAAGGCACAAUGAAAGUAAAGGUUGUCGUAUGACAACUUAGGGAAGAUGGGUGACGUUACGAUGUCGUCCCGCAUUCCCGGGGCA